UAGGGAAUUGUUCGCAAUGGGCGCAAGCCUGACGACGCAACGCCGCGUGGAGGAUGAAGACCUUCGGGUCGUAAACUCCUUUCGACCGAGAUGAAUGCCCGCCGACCUAACACGUCGGCGGAUUGACAGUAUCGAGGGAAGAAGCCCCGGCUAACUCCGUGCCAGCAGCCGCGGUAAUACGGGGGGGGCAAGCGUUGUUCGGAAUUACUGGGCGUAAAGGGUUCGUAGGUGGCCCUCUAAGUCAGACGUGAAAUCCCUCAGCUCAACUGGGGAACUGCGUCUGAGACUGGAGGGCUUGAGUGCAGGAGAGGAACGCGGAAUUCCAGGUGUAGCGGUGAAAUGCGUAGAUAUCUGGAGGAACACCGGUGGCGAAGGCGGCGUUCUGGACUGUUACUGACACUGAGGAACGAAAGCCAGGGGAGCAAACGGGAUUAGAUACCCCCGUAGUCC
rnacentral:rRNA from 1 species